rnacentral:rRNA from 1 species
GAUGAACGCUGGCGGCGUGCUUAACACAUGCAAGUCGAACGGUGAAAGCGGGAGCUUGCUCCUGCUGGAUCAGUGGCGAACGGGUGAGUAACACGUGAGCAAUCUGCCCCGAGCUCUGGGAUAAGCGCUGGAAACGGCGUCUAAUACCGGAUACGACGCGCGACGGCAUCGUCUGCGCGUGGAAAGAAAUUCGGUUCGGGAUGAGCUCGCGGCCUAUCAGCUUGUUGGUGAGGUAACGGCUCACCAAGGCGACGACGGUUAGCCGGCCUGAGCGGGUGACCGGCCACACUGGGAAUGAGACCGGGCCCAGACUCCUACGGGAGGCAGCAGUGGGGAAUUUGGCACAAUGGGCGCAAGCCUGAUGCAGCAACGCCGCGUGAGGGACGACGGCCUUCGGGUUGUAAACCUCUUUUGAUCGGGAAGAGCAAGGACGGUACCGGUCGAAGAAGCCUCGGCUACCUACGUGCCAGCAGCCGCCGUAACAC